UGGUCCGGUUCGCGGCCUUUCCAGCGGGCUGUGUUGCCACAGCAAUGUAAGUGCCCCCAGCACUUGCUGUCACGGCAUUAUCGCCAGUGGUACUUUCGUGAAGCGGUCUUCGCAUGGACCGCACAAUGAAGAUACGGUACGUCUGUAUCGUGCUUCUUGUUUCUGGCGUGUUGUGCCUUCACGCAGACCAGAGUUACUUCGGUAAUUCAGUUUUCGUAAAGACCAACGACCAGGGCAGGUAAGCGAGGAUGCCGCCUUUCGGGGCGGCUUUCCUU
rnacentral:sRNA from 1 species